rnacentral:lncRNA from 1 species
UUGUGCACCAUUGUCUGGAUCCUGAGCCUCUGCCCCUACCAGCACAAUCUCCGCUGCGCACUGCUUCCUUCAUGGCAACUUGAAUGGCAACACUGUGGCAUAUUCUUCAAGAGUACCCACCUCUGCAUCCUCUUGCCUCGUGCUAAGGCCUUUUGAACCCAACUUCGCCUCCGCAAAUUGAGUCGCCUUAGUUCCUCUAUCAAAUGCUCCUCCGAGAUAAGGUGCAUGUGCCCAGAAGCUCCCUUCGUCUUUGGCACCAUGCAAGAUGAGUCCGCUC